UGGUUCAGUGGUAGAAUCUUUGCCUACAACACAAGAGACCUGGGUUCAAUUCCCAG
rnacentral:tRNA from 1 species